rnacentral:rRNA from 1 species
GAUGAACGCUGGCGGCGUGCCUAAUACAUGCAAGUCGAGCGAACGGACGAGAAGCUUGCUUCUCUGAUGUUAGCGGCGGACGGGUGAGUAACACGUGGAUAACCUACCUAUAAGACUGGGAUAACUUCGGGAAACCGGAGCUAAUACCGGAUGAUAUUUUGUACCGCAUGGUUCAAAAGUGAAAGACGGUCUUGCUGUCACUUAUAGAUGGAUCCGCGCUGCAUUAGCUAGUUGGUAAGGUAACGGCUUACCAAGGCAACGAUGCAUAGCCGACCUGAGAGGGUGAUCGGCCACACUGGAACUGAGACACGGUACAGACUCCUACGGGAGGCAGCAGUAGGGAAUCUUCCGCAAUGGGCGAAAGCCUGACGGAGCAACGCCGCGUGAGUGAUGAAGGUCUUCGGAUCGUAAAACUCUGUUAUUAGGGAAGAACAUAUGUGUAAGUAACUGUGCACAUCUUGACGGUACCUAAUCAGAAAGCCACGGCUAACUACGUG